rnacentral:rRNA from 1 species
AUGAACGCUGGCGGCGUGCCUAAUACAUGCACGUCGCGCGAACAGACGAGGAGCUUGCUCCUCUGAUGUUAGCGGCGGACGGGUGAGUAACACGUGGAUAACCUACCUAUAAGACUGGGAUAACUUCGGGAAACCGGAGCUAAUACCGGAUAACAUGUUGAACCGCAUGGUUCAACAGUGAAAGACGGUCUUGCUGUCACUUAUAGAUGGAUCCGCGCCGCAUUAGCUAGUUGGUAAGGUAACGGCUUACCAAGGCAACGAAGCGUAGCCGACCUGAGAGGGUGAUCGGCCACACUGGAACUGAGACACGGUCCAGACUCCUACGGGAGGCAGCAGUAGGGAAUCUUCCGCAAUGGGCGAAAGCCUGACGGAGCAACGCCGCGUGAGUGAAGAAGGUCUUCGGAUCGUAAAACUCUGUUAUUAGGGAAGAACAAAUGUGUAAGUAACUAUGCACGUCUUGACGGUACCUAAUCAGAAAGCCACGGCUAACUACGUG